rnacentral:rRNA from 1 species
CAGCCGCCGCGGGAACACGAAGGGUGCAAGCGUUAAUCGGAAUUACUGGGCGUAAAGCGUGCGUAGGCGGUUUGUUAAGUCUGCUGUGAAAUCCCCGGGCUCAACCUGGGAAUGGCAGUGGAUACUGGCAAGCUAGAGUGUGUCAGAGGAUGGUGGAAUUCCCGGUGUAGCGGUGAAAUGCGUAGAGAUCGGGAGGAACAUCAGUGGCGAAGGCGGCCAUCUGGGACAACACUGACGCUGAGGCACGAAAGCGUGGGGAGCAAACAGGAUUAGAUACCCGCGUAGUCCCUGUCUCUUAUAC